AUUUAAAUAGUUUAAAUAAAAUAUUGAUUUGUGGAGUCAAAGAUGUUUUUCUUAACUUUAAAUA
rnacentral:tRNA from 1 species